rnacentral:rRNA from 1 species
UGGAGGCAGCAGUAAGGAAUUUUCGGCAAUGGGCGAAAGCCUGACCGAGCAACGCCGCGUGAGUGAUGAAGGCCUUCGGGUUGUAAAGCUCUGUUGUUAGGGAAGAAUGAUCAGGAUAGGAAAUGAUCUUGAAGUGACGGUACCUAACCAGAAAGCCACGGCUAACUACGUGCCAGCAGCCGCGGUAAUACGUAGGUGGCAAGCGUUAUCCGGAAUUAUUGGGCGUAAAGGGUGCGUAGGCGGUUUCUUAAGUCUUAUGUGAAAUCUCAGAGCUUAACUCUGGGCUGCAUAAGAAACUAUUAGACUAGAGUGCAGGAGAGGGCAACGGAAUUCCAUGUGUAGCGGUAAAAUGCGUAGAUAUAUGGAGGAACACCGGUGGCGAAGGCGGUUGCCUGGCCUGUUACUGACGCUGAAGCACGAAAGCGUGGGGAGCAAAUAGGAUUAGAUACCCUGGUAGUCG